UACGUAGGGUGCAAGCGUUAAUCGGAAUUACUGGGCGUAAAGCGUGCGCAGGCGGUUUUGUAAGACUGUCGUGAAAAUCCCCCGGGCUUAACCUGGGAAUGGCGAUGGUGACUGCAAGGCUAGAGUUUUUGGCAGAGGGGGUAGAAUUCCACGUGUAGCAGUGAAAUGCGUAGAGAUGUGGAGGAACACCGAUGGCGAAGGCAGCCCCUGGGUCAAGAUUGACGCUCAUGCACGAAAGCGUGGGGGAGCAAACAGG
rnacentral:rRNA from 1 species